rnacentral:rRNA from 1 species
AGUAAUGUAUGGGGAUCUGCCCGAUAGAGGGGGGUAACUACUGGAAACGGUGGCUAAUACCGCAUAAUGUCUACGGACCAAAGCAGGGGCUCUUCGGACCUUGUACUAUCGGAUGAACCCAUAUGGGAUUAGCUAGUAGGUGGGGUAAAGGCUCACCUAGGCGACGAUCUCUAGCUGGUCUGAGAGGAUGAUCAGCCACACUGGGACUGAGACACGGCCCAG